GGUAGCCCACGGCAAGCUGCACUACAAGCCCAAUCGAUACUUCAAGAGACAGUCAAGUACUGUGCCUGCCUCCAGGUGUGAGAAUUGCCUCCUGCGCUUCCGCACUCAUCGCUCGCUCUUCAAGCAUCUGCAUGUUUGUAUAGACCAUGGUCAGAACCCAGCCCCGCCACCACCCCCUGCCCUGGACAAAGAGCCACCUGUACCUGAGCGUCCCCCAGAGUCCGACCCUUCGUCCUCCCUGGGCCUGCCAUUCCCACUACUUGAGCCUUUCACCUCUGCCCCCACUGGGCCCUUCCUUCCUUACUUGAACCCUGCACCCUUUGGCCUGAGUCCCCCGAGACUGCGCCCAUUCCUGGCUGCCACUCCAGGGCCACCGACAUCCAGCACUGCCAUCUGGAAGAAGAGUCAAGGUGCUACCAGUAGUCCUAGAAGACCUCAGGGCGGCUCCGAUGCGCCCUCAGGUGCGUGCAGGUGACCACCAGGGACGGGUGGAGGGGCCCUUCAUUCCUGUGCCCUAAGUGGGCCCUGUGAAUGCUGGAAAGCAGCGGUGACUGUCCCUUAAAAUACAUGAUUUUUGCCUUUC
rnacentral:lncRNA from 1 species